CCUUCCCUCUUUCUUCGUGCCUAAUACAUGCAAGUCGAGCGAACAGACGAGGAGCUUGCUCCUCUGACGUUAGCGGCGGACGGGUGAGUAACACGUGGAUAACCUACCUAUAAGACUGGGAUAACUUCGGGAAACCGGAGCUAAUACCGGAUAAUAUAUUGAACCGCAUGGUUCAAUAGUGAAAGACGGUUUUGCUGUCACUUAUAGAUGGAUCCGCGCCGCAUUAGCUAGUUGGUAAGGUAACGGCUUACCAAGGCAACGAUGCGUAGCCGACCUGAGAGGGUGAUCGGCCACACUGGAACUGAGACACGGUCCAGACUCCUACGGGAGGCAGCAGUAGGGAAUCUUCCGCAAUGGGCGAAAGCCUGACGGAGCAACGCCGCGUGAGUGAUGAAGGUCUUCGGAUCGUAAAACUCUGUUAUUAGGGAAGAACAAAUGUGUAAGUAACUAUGCACGUCUUGACGGUACCUAAUCAGAAAGCCACGGCUAACUACGUG
rnacentral:rRNA from 1 species